UCCUGUCGAGGACUCUUCGCCGAGGUGGUCGAAUAGUCACGCUUUAACCCGCGAUCCGCGAGGCGGACAGCACUCGCCAGGAACGCGCAAGUGCUCGUAAAAGGAAGGAGGCCCCGCAAACAUCCCUUCGGGCCCCUGUCUGUCGCGCUCGCGAGCCUUCACCGUGAUACGUUUUCUUCUACCCCGAAUAGUGGAAAAAUAUCGAUACGAAAAAGGCACCGCAAGUUUGAUUAUGGUGUGCAUUGUUCCAUGAACCGAGGAAGGAUCGACAGUGGUGGCAGAUCGAUUAUCAAACAGACGGGGAGUCGCGUGUGACGGGAAUUUCAGGAUCGAUGUGACCGGCACCGAUGCCAGGAAUUCUGGCUGCGUGGCAACCAGUUGCGAAUGCGAACUGGGGUUGAGUAUAGAAUCCGUAUUAAGCUCAUCAUGAAUGAUCCUUCGGCGUGAAAUCGUAUCGGAAUCGCUGUCAAAAUUCACCGGUGGAGGCUCGCAUGGAUUUUCAAAUCGUAGAGGUGCUUCUCGAGUAAUUUACUUUUUUUUUGUGGAUCGAUCUGGAGAGCGUGGCAGAUCGUCGAGACCGCUGUUGAUUGCAAUUCGAAUGGGAAAGCGCUUUUAUUCAGCGGAAGAGAAUCGCUCUUAAUGUUCGCGAACGACCUGAUCUGCAUAUAUCGAGGAUAGACAACAUUGUAUCACAUCGAUCCGGUUGGCAUAAGUUUACAUACGCGAAUCUCUACAACUCCAAUAUCUUCGUCGUUCAAAAUAUCACAACGUGCGCCUUAACGAUACCAAAAAAAAAAAAAAGGAAAAAGAAACGAAUGACACAGGCCUAACUUGGGAUCAACGGACUAACGAUUUCAAAAAUAUCACGCGAUUUUUUAACGCGUGAACGUCACGCAGCCUUUCUGAAAAGAUUUUUACGUGUGCGACGAAUUAUAUACGCGCGCGCAUUAUCGAAAUGCACGUUUUCCUACAAAACAGCAACGGCUGAAAGGUCGUGAUCGAUCGACUCAAUUUGAUAACCUCCGAAAGAAGGGGUACCUUAGGGUGUACCGUCAUAUAUAGCGAUAAGAUGGGAACUGAAAAGUGAAAGAGGUGAGAGAGAGAGAGAGAGAGAGAGAGAGAGAAGUACUCAGAAAAGCCGUACGUGGUCUAUCUACGCCACGUCGAGAUUUAUAAGUACUGCUACUUGAGCGAAUAUCUUUCGGACCUGAAGAUGCAGACGCGGCGAUAAUCGAAUUGACCGCGAUCACUUGCAUAAUGUCGUAUCAAGACCGUUCGCGGGAAUGGCGUGCUUCGAGCUUCACGUCGCUACAUCGAUUUCAAGAUCGUUUUUCGCAGUAUCCCUUAAAACUUGGGGAGAAAGCUCGCGACAAUAGAAUGUUCGUCGGUCAAACGAUAAUCGUCAAUUAAAAAUCUCGAAUUAAUUGCACUCUCGCCACAAAUUAUAAAUCUCUAGUUUUAUAUAAAAAAAUAAAGAGAAUAUAGAUCGUUCGAUGCAACCUUCAUCGAGUCAUACGACAAAACUACUCGACGACUGCACAUCGCAUUUUCAAAGGUCGAGCUAGUAGACGGCCUCACUCUCAAUGUCUCCUAGAUGCGAAAGACGGAAACCCAAUCGAGUUCACUGGGUCCCCCGUCCCCUGCCGGACGAGUCAUCCACGAGGAAAACGAUGGUCGACGGGUGUCUGCUCGACAGUUGAUCCGCAGAGAAUCGACAACUCCAUAAAUAAGCACGGCCUAAGCGAUGAUCGGCCUGUAGAUUGGCGCGCUCGAUGAAUCGUCGCGGAAACGAGCAUCGAGAAGCAGCAGCGAGCACCACCCGAACAAGAAGAAGAGGCAGGAGAAGAAGAAGACGAAGAAGAAGAGAAGCUUAUAGCCGCGUAGCGUCAUCUCCCUAUCGAAAGAGCCGCGUUCCGGGUGAUGCGCGGAAGUAGCUCCGAACUUCUGCUGGAGGCGAGCUGCAGCCAGUGCCAGAGCGAUCACGAUCGGAGGCAUCGGCGCCGGGACAGCGACGACGGCGGCGGUGGCGACGGGUACGACUUCCACGAGCGGGAGCUACGUCGUCGCAAACUGUUGGAGCUCGGGUUCGGCGCGUCGCGGCGCCGACCGCCACGGCGUACCUGCCGACAGCGGCUUAACUUCUACGCCACGUCGGCCCUGGCCUUCGUCGCGACAUCCGGCGGCGCGGCGCUUCUUUUCCUGGUGCCGCUUUACGUCGAUCCGGCCAUUAGCACCCUGGCGGCGGACUUCUCGCCGCAGCCGGUCAUCUGCACGACCUCGCGACGCGAGGAACUUGUCGGUCUCUUCAACUGCACAUGGAGCUCGUGCCGCGAGGGUUGCACCAGUGACGUGUACAGGUGCACCCACAUAUAUGUCACCUACACGCCGUGGAGUAAUGUCACGAUGAGAAACGACACCGGCGGCAGGAACACCACCGUCGCGACCAACGCCACGACCGCUCUGGACACCGUCACUGCCGUAUCCUCCCCGGGAGACGUCGAGGCGGUGCUGCUGGUGAACAUCAAGGGCUGCGGAUACCCGCCGACAGUCGACUGCGAGAACUUCACCCGCGAGUUGGGUUACGAGGGCGCGAAAUUUCCCUGCCAUUAUAGCCGGGUGAACGGUAGUAUAGUGAUGGCGAACUAUAAUCGCGAGGCACAGAUCACCAUCAUUAUGCACUUCUUCGCGGCGCCUUUCGUAGUGACUCUCGCGACCAGCGUCGCGCUGUGUGUGAUGCACUGUGACUGCAGAUGCACGCCGCCCCCGCGACACCCCCCGCGCGGCAUGAGAAGAUCCAAGGGCAACGAUCUCAGCUGCUGCAUGAGUAUAAAAAAUCGAUAACGAGUUAGAAGCAUGCCGGAAGUCGUCCGUUUUAGAAGGUGUAUUUGAUGAGGCAAAUAAACUUUCUAAACCAUACGUAAGACAAAGCGACUUAACAAUGAGAUGUUACUCCAACGUACUUAUCGUCGUCGUGAAACGAUGCUAAACUCUUUCGGCUGCGAAUACUGCCUUAGAAGAAAAGAACGAAUCGCAGAAACGGAAAUCGGAUAUCGAUUCAUCAUCUCUCGUAAUCCUCCGCUAAUUAACACCAAAAGGCGCAUUCAUCUCAUUAACAAAACGAGUGCGCCACCCGAAAGCCGUGACUGCGCUCUUCGUGCAACGCAAUGAACAUGUGUAAAAAGAGAUCUCUAGAGUUAUCGAUCGGACGCCCGAUCACUCAAUCAGCAAUCGUGUGGAUCGUCGCGGCCACCCGACGUAUUGCGAGUGCGGCGAGGUGACGAGGCCCUUAUGACGACGCGAGGAGACGGCCGAGAGUGCCCUGGCCACAUCGCAGUCCGAUUUCUAGGCCCCGUUCACUCUACCCGUCCUCGACCGUCCUUCCGGCCCUUCGGCCGGCGAUCUCUCUCGUUGAACUCUACUUAUAUGUUUUCCGGCAGCAUUUCUCAUUCCGCUCUCAUGGCACUACCGCACGUGUCUAAAUCAACAUUCGCGUUUAAACGCAUACAUCAAUACGUACGGACGUACCAGACGUACACAUAUACACAUACUGAUACGGAACGCAGGAAUGAGGAAAUAAUCUUUCAAUUCUCCCGGCGACUUGUCCGCCGACUAUAAAGAGUAGAAUUGCUCCCGCAGUAGUUGCUGCAAUGUUACCACGUGGUUAUUGCGUGGUUAAUUGGUACAAGGGCGGUUCGUGGCUAGUAAUUACCAGUGGCUGUGCCGCGAGCUUGGUGGUAAUUGAGCGAUUGACGCGAUUAUAAAGCGCGCGCGACGAUGAAAAGUACCGCUCGCGUGAUGCAUAUCGCACGAUCUGACGAAAGGUAAGCGCAAAUUGGUUAUCACGUACAGAAUGAAUAAUUUCACUCUAUACUGAGAUGCUUAAUGUUACAUAAACAGUGCAUUACGAGCUCAAUGGCGUUUUGUUAAUUAUUAAUUGUUAAUAAUGUCUUGAAAAUAUUUUUUUUUUUCGUGACAUACAUACGUAUAAUAGAAAAUGUUAAAUUAGACAAUCUUGGAAAGAAUGAAUAUGAUUCGAAGGAAGAAUUAGUUUUGCGUAUAUUUUAACUUUAUAUCAUAAACAGUGACUGUUGGCCUCUACGCUCGCGCUAAUUAAUUUCAUUCGACGAUAGCGCGCGCUUUGAAUUCUUCCGACGUUAUUCGUAUACGAAUAUGAGUUUAAUAAUCAAUAUUUGCCGGUCUGUCUGCAAACAAUAAUGAAAAUUGUGAAAUGAUAAACGAUAUUAUAUGCCUCAAAUGUUUUCGGUAAAUAAGAACCUGCGUAAAUAAGGUUACGCUUCUACUACGUAUGAAAUUCUGGAAAUGCUGAAUAAACAUAAACGUAACGUUCUGAUUGC